UUGAACGCUGGCGGCAUGCCUUACACAUGCAAGUCGAACGGCAGCAUGGAGAGCUUGCUCUCUGAUGGCGAGUGGCGAACGGGUGAGUAAAGCAUCGGAACGUACCGUGUAGUGGGGGAUAACGUAGCGAAAGUUACGCUAAUACCGCAUACGCACUGAGGUGGAAAGCAGGGGAUCGUAAGACCUUGCGCUAUACGAGCGGCCGAUGUCAGAUUAGCUAGUUGGUAGGGUAAAGGCCUACCAAGGCGACGAUCUGUAGCGGGUCUGAGAGGAUGAUCCGCCACACUGGGACUGAGACACGGCCCAGACUCCUACGGGAGGCAGCAGUGGGGAAUUUUGGACAAUGGGGGCAACCCUGAUCCAGCCAUGCCGCGUGAGUGAAGAAGGCCUUCGGGUUGUAAAGCUCUUUCGGCCGGGAAGAAAUCGCACAGGCUAAUACCCUGUGUGGUUGACGGUACCGGCAUAAGAAGCACCGGCUAACUACGUG
rnacentral:rRNA from 1 species